rnacentral:snoRNA from 1 species
AUCUUUCACAUUCCAUAUCCAUCAGAUAUAAACACUAGUCUGAGUGGUUCUAAAAGGAGGAAAAGUAAAAUUGAAACUGACUUAAAUCAUUUUGUGACACACAGCUAGUUAAAAAAAAAA